CCACAGACCCUUCUACAGCCAAGUACACUAGUGUAUAACUAACAACGCUGGUGCUGCACUGAAGCCUGCUGGGAUUGACAUAAAAAUCUGUGACUAGGGAAUGUAACACUUGCUGCUUCCUGGAUUCUGAUUGCACCACUCACCCCCGGAGAGGAUUAAGUAUGUUUGGGACGCUGCUUUCCUGUGCCCAGUAACAACUUUAAAGAAGAGAUAAAUCCUGGAACCAGCGGGCAGACAUUUGAUUCUCACCAGAGGUGGUGGCUUCUGAGAAGUGAUGUCUCUCCUUCAGCUCUGGGGAGUCUGCAGAGGGUGUGGCCAAAGGGUCAUUUGAAGUAAUGGUGUCAAGUUAACUUUAAUCCUGAGGGUGAAGCAUAACUCUGCAAACCCUAGAACUAAUUCAGAGGGACAAACAAACUUUUAGGAAUCCAGAGUCCUAGGCACCUACUGGAGCGUCUAGGAAAAGAAAGCCAGCUAUGGAAGGCAGGUAGGCCUUGGGGCACACAGUCCAUCCGUGGAAGACAUGGAACACCUUCAGGACCAGAAGUUCUCCAGAGACUAGAAAACAAUUAGGAAGAAGACAAAGGAAAGAAGAUAACGGCCUCGCAUCUGAACAACUUGUCUGGGUGUCAAGGACAGAAACAUCACCCAACCAGAAAGUCCCCCUGGACAGUGCUCCUGUUAGGCCAGGCUGCAUUAGGAAUUCAGUGAAGGGGGACAGGAUAGACAUUUGUAAACUCCAUGGGUCCAGUGUUUUCACAUAUGACUAGUUACUAUUAAACAAGUAUGGAAUGAAAAUGU
ensembl:antisense 1700013M08Rik RIKEN cDNA 1700013M08 gene